rnacentral:tRNA from 2 species
AAGACCUGUAAAACUCUAAAAUACAUCUCCUGACUGCAACUCAGACGCUUUAAUUAAGCGAAGGCCUCC